GACGAACGCUUGCGGCGUGCUUAACACAUGCAAGUCGAACGGAAAGGCCCUGCUUUUGUGGGGUGCUCGAGUGGCGAACGGGUGAGUAACACGUGAGUAACCUGCCCUUGACUUUGGGAUAACUUCAGGAAACUGGGGCUAAUACCGGAUAGGAGCUCCUGCUGCAUGGUGGGGGUUGGAAAGUUUCGGCGGUUGGGGAUGGACUCGCGGCUUAUCAGCUUGUUGGUGGGGUAGUGGCUUACCAAGGCUUUGACGGGUAGCCGGCCUGAGAGGGUGACCGGCCACAUUGGGACUGAGAUACGGCCCAGACUCCUGCGGGAGGCAGCAGUGGGGAAUAUUGCACAAUGGGCGGAAGCCUGAUGCAGCAACGCCGCGUGCGGGAUGACGGCCUUCGGGUUGUAAACCGCUUCCGCCUGUGACGAAGCGUGAGUGACGGUAAUGGGUAAAGAAGCACCGGCUAACUACGUGCCAGCAGCCGCGGUGAUACGUAGGGUGCGAGCGUUGUCCGGAUUUAUUGGGCGUAAAGGGCUCGUAGGUGGUUGAUCGCGUCGGAAGUGUAAUCUUGGGGCUUAACCCUGAGCGUGCUUUCGAUACGGGUUGACUUGAGGAAGGUAGGGGAGAAUGGAAUUCCUGGUGGAGCGGUGGAAUGCGCAGAUAUCAGGAGGAACACCAGUGGCGAAGGCGGUUCUCUGGGCCUUUCCUGACGCUGAGGAGCGAAAGCGUGGGGAGCGAACAGGCUUAGAUACCCUGGUAGUCCACGCUGUAAACGGUGGGUACUAGGUGUGGGGUCCAUUCCACGGGUUCCGUGCCGUAGCUAACGCUUUAAGUACCCCGCCUGGGGAGUACGGCCGCAAGGCUAAAACUCAAGGGAAUUGACGGGGCCCCGCACAAGCGGCGGAGCAUGCGGAUUAAUUCGAUGCAACGCGUAGAACCUUACCUGGGUUUGACAUGGAUCGGGAGUGCUCAGAGAUGGGUGUGCCUCUUUUGGGGUCGGUUCACAGGUGGUGCAUGGCUGUCGUCAGCUCGUGUCGUGAGAUGUUGGGUUAAGUCCCGCAACGAGCGCAACCCUUGUUCACUGUUGCCAGCACGUUAUGGUGGGGACUCAGUGGAGACCGCCGGGGUCAACUCGGAGGAAGGUGGGGAUGACGUCAAGUCAUCAUGCCCCUUAUGUCCAGGGCUUCACGCAUGCUACAAUGGCUGGUACAGAGAGUGGCGAGCCUGUGAGGGUGAGCGAAUCUCGGAAAGCCGGUCUCAGUUCGGAUUGGGGUCUGCAACUCGACCUCAUGAAGUCGGAGUCGCUAGUAAUCGCAGAUCAGCAACGCUGCGGUGAAUACGUUCCCGGGGCU
rnacentral:rRNA from 1 species